rnacentral:lncRNA from 1 species
UAUUAGCUUUCUCUCUCAAUAGAUAAAAAUAUCCUUCGUCUGUAGAUGUGCUUGAAGGAGGAAGAAGAUGAAAAUGAGAAGUGGAUGAGAAAAAAGGAGCCACCAAUGAGGAAUGAAUUGGAGGAGGAGAAAGAUGAUAAAGAGGAGAAGAGGAUGGCAAGGAAGGAGAGAGGAAAAGAUGGGUUGCCAACAAAAAAGGAUUGAGGUGGAGGGGGCUACCAUGGAGAGAGAUGGCUUAUGGAUGGCUUAAAGG